GGAAGAUGUGUCUGUACCCAAAGUGAACUUCUGUUCUGAAGAUGAGCUGGGCUGGCUUGUUUAAGUUUAUGUCUUGAUAUUUCAACUUUCAAAUAAGGAAGCAAACAUAAAAGAACCCUGGUUACUGGGAUGCCUCAGUGAAACAUCUGCUUGCCUGGGAACACUUUUACUAUAAAAGUUUUGAUUUAAAAAGAGAGGGCAAUGCUUCAGGUGUUUAUUCCGAUGCUACUUCACUGCUGCUGACAUGAACUAGUUAUUAAUUUCAUGGCAUUUCUCUGGCAGAAGCUACCUUAAUGAAUCUCUCCUGUGCCUUUGUUUUGUCCAAAUGACUAUCAGGGAGACUUCUGACCAGAAGAUGACUCCCUCAAGUUCCCAGUAAUGUGAUUUAUUAAACUCUGGAGUGCUUUCAUCAAAAGUGAAGAGAUUACAGCCAGUAUCCUCCAAUAGUCUCUGUAUUCCCUGAAAAUUGGUUUUCUCCCUUGCAGUUUUGCACAAAGGCAAGGAGCUGCUGUAUUGUACUGGCUACUUAAAA